GGUCAAUUGUUUUCCGAAUUAGGGCUUGCUUCAAGUGUUCCAAUUGAUCCUGUGUCAAUUUCAUCAGGUCAUCAGAUAUUCUACUUGGUUGGAUUUGCCUUGUUUUUUUUUUUGAAAACAUUUCUAAAUUUGUCGGUGAUUCAGAUGAGUGGAGAAAUUACCCCCAUUUAUAUUGUUUGGCUAUCAUUCCCAUUUCAAUUGCUUGAUGUACGCUGCUAUGGAUUUACUUCAUGCACAUUGUAUUAAUAUAUCCUAUAUAAGGCGGCGAGGUUCUAAUUUAUACAUCUUGGGUAGAGCGUACAUGGUUAUUGAAAUGUUCAAAUGAGCUUUGUAUCUGCAUCCUGCCAAGAAAAUAUGGAUAAUAAUAAUAAUGAUAUGCAGUGUUUAUAUAUCUGU